rnacentral:lncRNA from 1 species
CUGCAGCGUGGGGCUCAGCCAGGCCUCAGACUGCCGCUUGUCCAGAACCAAGCAGAACUCAACAGCAAAUUCUUCAGUGAAGACUGCAGCUCAGGACUCUCCUUCUCUGUGUCCUGCCCAGCCAUCCACCCACUCACCCAGGCACCUGGACUGGAAGUGCCCCAAAUGCAAACUGAAGGUUUGAACCCCUGGAGGAAAUGGGCAAAAAGGAAGACAAACACACUACUUGUGCUAUGUCCUCACUCUGCCCAAGACACACCUACCCGAACCAUGCCGUCUUGACUGCCUGUGACAACGACGUGGCUUGGGUCCCAUGUUGGUCCCUCCACCAUGCAGCAGCAGGUUAUGGCUCCUUCCGGGCCCGAGGCUGUGGUGAUGCUGGCCAGGGGUUGUCCAUUCACAUCCCACAGGGACAAGUGGGGACCUGCACAGGAGACGAUGGUGCCCUGCAGCAGUGACAGCUGG